UUAAACCCAAUCUCUUUCCACCAAUCUAUCAUCUCUACUACAGUCAUCAUUACACUUUCAUCAUAUCUUUCUUUUACAGCUAACCUUUUUGAACCGUUUUACACUUCUCAUCUUUACUUUGUAUAAAGUCCAACCCAUUGAAAAUUGUCCUUUUACUUCAUCUGAAGCCUAAAAAUGCUCAACUAUGUUUACCAUUCUCGGCCCCUUACAAACACGUCCAAUUAAACACCAAAUAGAUUCUUCCCUUCCCCUCUUAAUCCAUUUAUUCUUUCACGCCCUCUAUUAUCGUCCCUAGCUCUUCCAUUAUUAUUAGAUGCCCAACUCAAUCCAAACUUAUUAUUCAACAAACUUAUUUUAUUUUAAAACCCUCUAUUUGCUCUUCUCGCAUCUUUAUUGCCCAAUCAACAACUUUAGUCACUAGUUUUUAGGUUCUCGAAAUCCUAACCUCUAAUGAAGCUCCUUGCAACC
rnacentral:lncRNA from 1 species